GUCUACAGCCAUACCACCCUGAACACACCCGAUCUUGUCUGAUCUCAGAAGCUAAGCAGGGUCAGGCCUGGUUAGUACUUGGAUGGGAGAGAUAGUGGAAAAAUAAUCGAAUUUAUGAAUAAACAAAUAUUGUACAAC
ensembl:rRNA 5S_rRNA 5S ribosomal RNA